CUAAACCUUGCUGACACUGGCCAUGGUGGGGACUAUAACUCCAGUGGCUAUGAAUGAUGGGGGUAACACCCCACACUUUCUAAAGUGCAGGCACCCUAAACUGAGUUCCCCACAAAUCCUACUUACCCACACUCUGGGGAGCCCAGCUGGCAGUUAGCAGCUCAUUGGCAGCUUUGUUCCCUGUUAGAUUGCUGCUAAUGGCCGGCGGGCUAUAACUAGCCAUUAUGAUGAUUUGCUCUGAUAACCCAACACAUGAGCCACACUUAAUAAAUAAAAUAAUGAAUCCCUAGUAAAUAACGCUCUACAUUCGCUAAAAGUUUACAUAAAGACUGAGAACAAGGCAGUGAUAAGCAUGAUUAAAGACAAUGAUAAUGACCCGUUAUUAAAGGCAGUAGUAAUUAGAAUAAUUAGACUAUAAAACAGCUCUAUUAAUUAUCUUAUGAUACUUUAUUGGUUGUCAUGAAAUUUUAU